UAUGCAUGUACGACGGGGGGACAAUUCAAUGAGUGGUGUUUUUCGUUGUUCUGUCAAAUCUCAAGAAACGCGAAACAGGAAAGAGGAGCGGUACUCAGUAGGAUGUGAGAGGUAGACAAGGCAGUCUAAGCACCAGGGGACUAUCAUAUAGUGCUAAUCGCCUCCGCUUCCUUCUUUUCCAAUACCUGCCUUGUUUACUAUGUACCUUCGAUCCUGAUAGCUUUACGUCUGGAAGGCCUUGGCAGAAGAAGACGAACAGCGAUAAUUCUCCAUGGAUGGACGACGGCAGACGUUAAUAGUGCAGGUCACGUCAUUAAAAGAUAGCGAUAAUGAGCAUCCAACAUCUACCUAGGUGAAUUAUUUAUCGCUUAAAUAGGCGUCAGCAGAUCACAUACAGUGACACAGAUAGAAGGGCACAUAACGGCAAAUGGUUGCGUAUCAUGGCAUCUUUCCCUUCAAACCUCGAAUGAGCUAUGAGUAUUGUAAAGGCUCAUGUUAUCCGUCAGUUGGAAGAUAGAUCCCUACCGUUAAAUAUUUGUGAUACCGAAAAGGGAAAUUUGGGAAGGUACAAGAAGAGGCGAUGAAAAAGAUUCCUCCCUCCCCGAGUUGAACGAAGAAACAGGAGGAUGUUAAGUUUCGCGUUCGCCCGAGGAAUUUUGAGAUCAAAGGCAGGCGAGCAGUAGUAAUGCAUCAUAUAUAACGUAAACAUAUGCGGUGUUAUACGCUGCACGGGUUUGUUCUAUUGCAGUAUGUAUGCUACUGGCUGUGCUCGUC
rnacentral:sRNA from 1 species